GUGGGGAAUAUUGGACAAUGGGCGCAAGCCUGAUCCAGCAAUGCCGCGUGAGUGAUGAAGGCCUUCGGGUCGUAAAGCUCUUUUACCAGGGAUGAUAAUGACAGUACCUGGAGAAUAAGCUCCGGCUAACUCCGUGCCAGCAGCCGCGGUAAUACGGAGGGAGCUAGCGUUGUUCGGAAUUACUGGGCGUAAAGCGCACGUAGGCGGUUACUCAAGUCAGAGGUGAAAGCCCGGGGCUCAACCCCGGAACUGCCUUUGAAACUAGGUGACUAGAAUCUUGGAGAGGCGAGUGGAAUUCCGAGUGUAGAGGUGAAAUUCGUAGAUAUUCGGAAGAACACCAGUGGCGAAGGCGACUCGCUGGACAAGUAUUGACGCUGAGGUGCGAAAGCGUGGGGAGCAAACAGGAUUAGAUACCCGUGUAGUCC
rnacentral:rRNA from 1 species